rnacentral:rRNA from 1 species
GUGUCAGCCGCCGCGGUAAUACGGAGGGUGCAAGCGUUAAUCGGAAUUACUGGGCGUAAAGCGUGUGUAGGUGGUUCGUUAAGUCGGAUGUGAAAGCCCCGGGCUCAACCUGGGAACUGCAUUCGAUACUGACGGACUAGAGUUUAGCAGAGGAAAGCGGAAUUCCGGGUGUAGCGGUGAAAUGCGUAGAUAUCCGGAGGAACACCAGUGGCGAAGGCGGCUUUCUGGGUUAAAACUGACACUGAGGCACGAAAGCGUGGGUAGCAAACAGGAUUAGAUACCCUGUUAGUCCACGCCCUAAACGAUGUCGACUGGCUGUCGGGUUCAUUUGGAACUUGGUAGCGAAGCUAACGCGUUAAUUCGACCGCCUGGGGAGUACGGCCGCAAGGUUGAAACUCAAACGAAUUGGCGGGG